rnacentral:misc_RNA from 1 species
AACGCACAUUGCGCCCUUUGGUAUUCCGAAGGGCACACCUGUUCGAGCGCCGUCGCAACACUGAAGCUCAGCUUUGUGUUGGUGGAUGACCGCUGACCGGUCACCGCCCAAACCUUGCGGCGCCGCCCCGCGGCCGACGAUGCGCAAAUGCAGCAGUCCAAGCGGAAAGUGGCAGCCUUGUAUCAUUUUCAAGCUUGGCCUCGAAUCAGGUGGGGAUACCCGCUGAACUUAA